CAUCCUCAAGUUGUUUAUAUCACAAAUGAGGAAGCUCAAACUCCAAGAGGCAGGCAGGGCAAUUGUCAAGGGCCCUAACCAAGAAGGGCUGUCAACUAAGGCCUCUGACAGUAGAAUGGACAGGAAGUCUUGUGGUGGCCGCAAGUGAUAGAUAUAUGGAGGUAGCUGCCCAUGAGAUGUGGAAGCAACAAGCCUUUCAAGAUGUCAGCAUCCCUCCAACCUCCAGCUGAGGCAGAGCCCCUUCACCACUUACAUAUGUCUGCUGGACAGGAACCUCUUAAGACCUGUUCAAGAUAACACAGCUGUGUACAAGCGGAAAAUGGAACAGUUUCGCAGCCUUGAAGAGAACCUCCUUGAAGAUGAGCAAUUUGCUUCCUUUGGAGCCUUCUGAGGGCACCACUCCCAUCUUCCCCACCA